GAGAGCCUACGGGGGGCAGCAGUGAGGAAUAUUGGUCAAUGGGCGGGAGCCUGAACCAGCCAAGUCGCGUGAGGGAAGACGGUCCUAUGGAUUGUAAACCUCUUUAGGCGGGGAGCAAUGCCGGGCACGCGUGCCCGGAGGGAGAGUACCCGCAGAAUAAGCAUCGGCUAACUCCGUGCCAGCAGCCGCGGGAAUACGGAGGAUGCGAGCGUUAUCCGGAAUUAUUGGGUUUAAAGGGUGCGUAGGCGGAUUUUUAAGGAAGCGGUAAAAUGUCCGGGCUCAACCCGGGCCGGACGUUGAAAGUG
rnacentral:rRNA from 1 species